UGCUACCUGUGCGUGACCACACCCCGGUCUG
rnacentral:piRNA from 1 species